rnacentral:rRNA from 1 species
GAUGAACGCUGGCGGCGUGCCUAAUACAUGCAAGUCGAGCGAACAGACGAGAGUGCUUGCACUCUCUGACGUUAGCGGCGGACGGGUGAGUAACACGUGGGUAACCUACCUAUAAGACUGGGAUAACUUCGGGAAACCGGAGCUAAUACCGGAUAAUAUUUAGCUUCGCAUGAAGCAAUAGUGAAAGACGGUUCUGCUGUCACUUAUAGAUGGACCCGCGGUGUAUUAGCUAGUUGGUGAGGUAACGGCUCACCAAGGCAACGAUACAUAGCCGACCUGAGAGGGUGAUCGGCCACACUGGGACUGAGACACGGCCCAGACUCCUACGGGAGGCAGCAGUAGGGAAUCUUCCGCAAUGGACGAAAGUCUGACGGAGCAAUGCCGCGUGAGCGAAGAAGGUGUUCGGAUCGUAAAACUCUGUUGUAAGGGAAGAACAAGUACGUUAGUAACUGAACGUACCUUGACGGUACCUGACCAGAAAGCCACGGCUAACUACGUG